rnacentral:rRNA from 1 species
CAGCCGCCGCGGGAAUACGAAGGGUGCAAGCGUUAAUCGGAAUUACUGGGCGUAAAGCGUGCGUAGGCGGUGAGUUAAGUCUGCUGUGAAAUCCCCGGGCUCAACCUGGGAAUGGCAGUGGAUACUGGCUCGCUAGAGUGUGUCAGAGGAUAGUGGAAUUUCCGGUGUAGCAGUGAAAUGCGUAGAGAUCGGAAGGAACAUCUGUGGCGAAGGCGACUAUCUGGGCCAACACUGACACUGAGGCACGAAAGCGUGGGGAGCAAACAGGAUUAGAUACCCCGGUAGUCCCUGUCUCUUAACA